rnacentral:rRNA from 1 species
CAUGGCCUUUUGUUUAAAAUUUAAGGUUUGACCUGCCCAAUGAGGAUUUAAAUGGCCGCGAUAUUUUGAUCGUGCGAAGGUAGCAUAAUCAUUAGUUCUUUAAUUGAGAGCUUGUAUGAAGGGUUGGACGAGAAGAAUACUGUCUCAUUAUUGAAAGUUGAAUUUUAUUUUUAAGUCAAAAAGCUUAAAUGAAUUUAAAAGACGAGAAGACCCUAUAGAGUUUAAAUAAUUUAAAUUAUUAGAAUUUUAAGAAUUUAUUGUUUUAAUUUUGGUUAUUAUUUUGUUGGGGUGACAGGGAGAUUAAUGAAACUCUUUUUUAAUUAAAUACUGAUUUGUAUAUAGAUGACUUGUAUAAUCAUAUAAAAGUUAAAUUACCUUAGGGAUAACAGCGUUAUUUGUUUGGAGAGUUCAAAUCGAUAAACAAGAUUGCGACCUCGAUGUUGGAUUAAGGUAAAUGUUUGGUGUAGCAGCUAAAUAAUUUAGUCUGUUCGACUAUUAAAUCCUUACAUGAUCUGAGU